GACGAACGCUGGCGGCGCGCUUAACACAUGCAAGUCGAACGGAAAGGCCUGCUUUCCCUUGUGGAUUGCGGGUACUCGAGUGGCGAACGGGUGAGUAACACGUGAGUGAUCUGCCCCCAACUUGGGUAUAAGCCUGGGAAACUGGGUCUAAUUCCCGAUAGGACUGCAGGGUGGUGCCUGUGGUGGAAAACGAUUUUCUAGUGGUUGGGGAUGAGCUCGCGGCCUAUCAGCUUGUUGGUGGGGUAAUGGCCUACCAAGGCGGCGACGGGUAGCCGGCCUGAGAGGGUGGACGGCCACAUUGGGACUGAGAUACGGCCCAGACUCCUACGGGAGGCAGCAGUGGGGAAUAUUGCACAAUGGGCGGAAGCCUGAUGCAGCGACGCCGCGUGGGGGAUGACGGCCUUCGGGUUGUAAACUCCUUUCGACCGCGAGGAAGCCACCUGGUUGGAAGGGUGGUGACGGUAGUGGUAGAAGAAGCACCGGCUAACUACGUG
rnacentral:rRNA from 1 species